rnacentral:rRNA from 1 species
AUUGAACGCUGGCGGCAUGCCUUACACAUGCAAGUCGAACGGUAACAGGUCUUCGGAUGCUGACGAGUGGCGAACGGGUGAGUAAUACAUCGGAACGUGCCUAGCAGUGGGGGAUAACUACUCGAAAGAGUGGCUAAUACCGCAUGAGAUCUACGGAUGAAAGCAGGGGAUCGCAAGACCUUGUGCUACUAGAGCGGCCGAUGGCAGAUUAGGUAGUUGGUGGGAUAAAAGCUUACCAAGCCGACGAUCUGUAGCUGGUCUGAGAGGACGAUCAGCCACACUGGGACUGAGACACGGCCCAGACUCCUACGGGAGGCAGCAGUGGGGAAUUUUGGACAAUGGGCGCAAGCCUGAUCCAGCAAUGCCGCGUGCAGGAUGAAGGCCUUCGGGUUGUAAACUGCUUUUGUACGGAACGAAAAGCCCUGGGUUAAUACCCUGGGGUCAUGACGGUACCGUAAGAAUAAGCACCGGCUAACUACGUGCCAGCCGCCGCUGUAAGAC